rnacentral:rRNA from 1 species
UACGAAGGUCCCAAGCGUUGUUCGGAAUCACUGGGCGUAAAGGGAGCGUAGGCUGCGUGGUAAGUCAGAUGUGAAAUCCCGGGGCUCAACCCCGGAACUGCAUCCGAUACUGCCACGCUUGAGGGUUGGAGAGGUAGCUGGAAUUAUCGGUGUAGCAGUGAAAUGCGUGGAUAUCGAUAGGAACACUCGUGGCGAAGGCGAGCUACUGGACAACAUCUGACGCUGAGGCUCGAAGGCUAGGGGAGCAAAAGGG